CCUACGGGAGGCAGCAGUGAGGAAUAUUGGACAAUGGGUGAGAGCCUGAUCCAGCCAUCCCGCGUGAAGGACUAAGGCCCUAUGGGUUGUAAACUUCUUUUAUACUGGGAUAAACCUACUUACGUGUAAGUAGCUGAAGGUACAGUGUGAAUAAGCACCGGCUAACUCCGUACCAGCAGCCGCGGUAAU
rnacentral:rRNA from 1 species